CCUACGGGAGGCAGCAGUGAGGAAUAUUGGUCAAUGGACGAGAGUCUGAACCGGCCAAGUAGCGUGAAGGAUGACUGCCCUAUGGGUUGUAAACUUCUUUUAUAUGGGAAUAAAAUGUUCCACGUGUGGGAUUUUGUAUGUACCAUAUGAAUAAGGAUCGGCUAACUCCGUGCCAGCAGCCGCGGUAAUACGGAGGAUCCGAGCGUUAUCCGGAUUUAUUGGGUUUAAAGGGAGCGUAGGUGGAUUGUUAAGUCAGUUGUGAAAGUUUGCGGCUCAACCGUAAAAUUGCAGUUGAAACUGGCAGUCUUGAGUACAGUAGAGGUGGGCGGAAUUCGUGGUGUAGCGGUGAAAUGCUUAGAUAUCACGAAGAACUCCGAUUGCGAAGGCAGUUCACUGGACUGCAACUGACACUGAGGCUCGAAAGUGUGGGUAUCAAACAGGAUUAGAUACCCGAGUAGUC
rnacentral:rRNA from 1 species